UACGAAGGGGGCUAGCGUUGCUCGGAAUCACUGGGCGUAAAGCGCACGUAGGCGGAUUGUUAAGUCAGGGGUGAAAUCCUGGAGCUCAACUCCAGAACUGCCUUUGAUACUGGCGAGCUCGAGUCCGGGAGAGGUGAGUGGAACUGCGAGUGUAGAGGUGAAAUUCGUAGAUAUUCGCAAGAACACCAGUGGCGAAGGCGGCUCACUGGCCCGGUACUGACGCUGAGGUGCGAAAGCGUGGGGAACAAACAGG
rnacentral:rRNA from 1 species